GUCGUCGGGGCCGCGGAGCGCGAUCUCGCGGGGGCUAUCGAUCGCCGUGAGCUCGCGUUCGAGCGUCGCGACGACGGCGC
rnacentral:tRNA from 1 species